CUUACACAUGCAAGUCGAACNGGUAACAGGUCUUCGGAUGCUGACGAGUGGCGAACGGGUGAGUAAUACAUCGGAACGUGCCCGAUCGUGGGGGAUAACGAAGCGAAAGCUUUGCUAAUACCGCAUACGAUCUACGGAUGAAAGCAGGGGACCGCAAGGCCUUGCGCGAACGGAGCGGCCGAUGGCAGAUUAGGUAGUUGGUGGGAUAAAAGCUUACCAAGCCGACGAUCUGUAGCUGGUCUGAGAGGACGACCAGCCACACUGGGACUGAGACACGGCCCAGACUCCUACGGGAGGCAGCAGUGGGGAAUUUUGGACAAUGGGCGAAAGCCUGAUCCAGCCAUGCCGCGUGCAGGAUGAAGGCCUUCGGGUUGUAAACUGCUUUUGUACGGAACGAAAAGACUCUGGUUAAUACCUGGGGUCCAUGACGGUACCGUAAGAAUAAGCACCGGCUAACUACGUGCCAGCAGCCGCGGUAAUACGUAGGGUGCAAGCGUUAAUCGGAAUUACUGGGCGUAAAGCGUGCGCAGGCGGUUAUAUAAGACAGA
rnacentral:rRNA from 1 species